UUAAUUAGGCGUCAUUUCCAUGAUCACAUUCAUAUUUAUCGGCUGUGUUGACUCCUCAAAGUCAAAGUGAAAUUCUUGAAGAAAGAUUUCAAGGUCACAAGGAAUGACUGGCAAAAAUUGCGUACCUGUGCCAGCUUAGAAGAUGAACACAUGCUUCUGGUGUGCGAAUUCAUGCCGAGAGGAAGUUUGGAAAAUCAUCUAUUCAGAAAGGAGUGCUUAUUUCCAACCACUAUCACAGAAUCUCCGAAUGAAGGUUACUCUCGAGGCAGCUAAAGGACUGACAUAUCUCCACAGCCCAGAAGCUAAAAUUAUAUAUCAGGAUUUCAAAUCAUCUAACAUUUUGCUUGUUGCUAUAUGUAAAACAACUUUAAAAUUUAGUCUUCUACAAGUUUUAACAAUAUUUCUGUUGUCCUCUUAUGAUUUGUCCAUACCAUGAAUUGACAGAGUUACAAUGCAAAGUUGAGCCAAUCAACAGAAAAUGGGUACCUUCUGUUGUGCUGCUCCCGAGUAUAUGACCACUGGUAAUAUACAAUUUCAAUUUACUCCUAAUUGUCCUUGUGCUUUACUUGAGCUGAGCGUCAAUCGGAAGCCAAGUACAAAAGUAGUUAAAAGAUAGAGAUGGUGUCAUUAGGCAUAACUUGGCUGGUUCAUUUCCAUCUGUUUCUCUGUUCAAGGAGUAUCAAAAUAGAGC